GGAAACUGUUUAACUNGAGUGCAGAAGGGGAGAGUGGAAUUCCACGUGUAGCGGUGAAAUGCGUAGAUAUAUGGAGGAACACCGGUGGCGAAAGCGGCUNUCUGGUCUGUAACUGACGCUGAGGCUCGAAAGCGUGGGGAGCGAACAGGAUUAGAUACCCUGGUAGUCCACGCCGUAAACGAUGAGUGCUAGGUGUUAGGCCCUUUCCGGGGCUUAGUGCCGCAGCUAACGCAUUAAGCACUCCGCCUGGGGAGUACGACCGCAAGGUUGAAACUCAAAGGAAUUGACGGGGGCCCGCACAAGCGGUGGAGCAUGUGGUUUAAUUCGAAGCAACGCGAAGAACCUUACCAGGUCUUGACAUCCCGAUGCCCGCUCUAGAGAUAGAGUUUUACUUCGGUACAUCGGUGACAGGUGGUGCAUGGUUGUCGUCAGCUCGUGUCGUGAGAUGUUGGGUUAAGUCCCGCAACGAGCGCAACCCUUAUUGUUAGUUGCCAUCAUUCAGUUGGGCACUCUAGCGAGACUGCCGGUAAUAAACCGGAGGAAGGUGGGGAUGACGUCAAAUCAUCAUGCCCCUUAUGACCUGGGCUACACACGUGCUACAAUGGCUGGUACAACGAGUCGCAAGUCGGUGACGGCAAGCUAAUCUCUUAAAGCCAGUCUCAGUUCGGAUUGUAGGCUGCAACUCGCCUACAUGAAGUCGGAAUCGCUAGUAAUCGCGGAUCAGCACGCCGCGGUGAAUACGUUCCCGGGCCUUGUACACACCGCCCGUCACACCACGAGAGUUUGUAACACCCGAAGNCG
rnacentral:rRNA from 1 species